rnacentral:lncRNA from 1 species
GUAUAUGCAUAUAUAUGCAUGCCUUCUUAAUUUUUGUAGGUAUAUAGUUCACACAUAUGGCACUGUAUCCACUGGACAUCUGAGGUUCUAUCAGGCCACUAGGAGACUAGAAAUCAACAUUAUGAAGCUUCCACUGAAGAUAGAGACAAGUGAUGUCAUCCGAGAAGUAAAUCACCAGUCAAGGUGACAUUGAAGGCUAUCCAUCAUAUUUUAUAACCCAAAUGCUGCCAUUGGGUACAUAUUUUCUGUUUUGGGCAAAGACAACCCGGACUGGGUUUCUUUGUAAGAAAAGCAAUCUUCUCACACUUUGAACGCAAGUGGCUGACUUGUAAGGUAAUGUUCCUAUCAGUGAAAAUACUCUCUUCUCAUUUCAAUAGUACAAUCAGCUGUUACUUUGUUACAAAUAUGGUGGUGACUUUCUUCCUACAGAGGAAGCAAGCCUUGAUAGUUCUUGUUUUUCCCCUCAGUAAUUGUCUGUAACUUACUCACUAUAAACUCUUGUUUGUUCUCUUUGCCUCUCUUCUCCUCUCCUUCCUUUCCUUUACCCCCUUUUAAUAAAUGUAAAUUCCAC